UAAGAAAAUUAGCUACCUCGUGCUUAACUCCAGAGAUACCCAUCUUUUGACAUAACUUUACACAUGUUAACGUGACACUCCAGUUUAAAUUUCGUGGCAAUCGGAGUAGUAGAACUCCGGUUAUAGCGAUUUUCGUCGGAAAAUCACAAAAAUUGAAAUGGUCAUAACUUGGUCAUUUUAACUCGGAAUUAGCUCAUUUUUGGACACGAGCUACAUAAUACCAUAUAUUUUCAUUUUCCAAAAGCCCGGAAUUUUUCUCACAAGAAAAGUUGACAAAACAACCCUUGCAAAAUAUUAGCAGCUUACUUUUUGUACUUUGGCAGUUUUGGAGUCCUUUACCAAAACUUAAAUAAAAUGAAAUCUAAAACUCCGAUUAAUGAUCCGUAAAUUUUUUUGGAUUCCUAUCUUUCCGAACUACAGUUUUCAUCUAUCAUAAUCCAUAUUUGGACAUGUUAAGCUCCCAGAAAUUAGCCCGGAAGUGGCUGUUACAAACUGUUAUUUUAACAGUUUUUCUUACAUUUGAGUAGUUUGGGAGAAAUUUCAUAACUCUCUCCUCCGAUGUCGGAUUUAGUCCGUUUCGGAGUCUAUAGAAAGCUUAUUGAGUGUACUAUAACAUACCAAAAGCCCAAAAGUUUUAGAACAAGAUAGCUAACACAGAAAAUUUCUUUUUAGGUCAGCGGUUUACUAGUUUUAACACUUUAGAAAAAUUCGUUUUCUUUCCCUUCCUUACUUAAGCUUUUCACUACCAAAAAUGGUUAGAUCUACUCAUAAAACACUCUAAAUCAUGUAGAUCUAGGGUUUUGAAGAUCAAGAACAUAAAUUCAUAUUUUGAUUUAAAACAACAAGAAUAACUAGCUAAAUAUAGUUUAAUACCUUUUCUCACUUCGAUUUCUUGAUUUCUGACUUUGAUCUUCUGUUUUUGAUGCUUGUGAUCAUGGGGAUAUGCUUAGGAGUGUAUGGGAAAGUGUUUUUUUAGGAGCUAAGAGGUUGAGAGAGUCUAGGAUGAGAGUUAAGAAAAUUCAAGUGUGCAUUUUCAUUAACUCUCUUUAAUCUCUAUUUAUAGGCCAAGUAAAAUGCCUUGGAUGCUAAAUUGGUUGGUAUAAUUGAGGUGUAAUGGUAUAGUAGCAUGAGGGAAUUCUAGAAGCCAUUGAUUAGCUAGCAUUAUUGAAGAUUCCAUCAACAAUGCUACUAAUAAUACACUAAUAAACCAAAAAGGGUAAUUUGGUCAUUUCACAUAUAAUUCCGAGGGCAUUUUUGUAAAAGGCAAUUAAAUGUAAUAUUUAACCAUUAGAUUAUAAUUCUUACCAUUUACCAAUUAAUUUCUAUCAUUUGGUAAUUUAAAACAUUUAUACAAUAACAUCGUAAUUAAACCCGGUAAUUUUAAAUUAAGGGUUUUCUAUAGAAAAUUAGGGUUUUCUAAUUAGGGUUUCUUAACGCCAUCAACUAGGGUUUCUAAUUGACCAUUAGGGUUCUCUAAUUAUCUGUGUAUGUUCUAACACAGUUAUUACGAUCUCUAACUUCAAUCGAUUAGGGUUGUAAUAAUUAGGGUUUGUCCUAAUUAUCAACGUAAAAAUAGUAAUUAGGGUUUUUCUUCUAAUUACCGACAUUCGUG
rnacentral:lncRNA from 1 species